CCAGACGGCACGCCACUUCCGGGGCCGGCUCCACGGGUCACUUCCGGGGCGGGUCCCGCCUGCGCAGGGCUCCCCUGUGCGCAUGUGCGGCGCGGGAGGGGUUGGGAGGGGAAAAAACGGAGCUGCUCGCGUCUGCGCAGAGGUGAGCGUGGGCUCCGGCGUGUGGAGCGGGGGCGCCUCGGGACCCGGGGACCCGGGGAUGCAGGGAUCCCGGGCCCGGCAGCCGUCUCCCGCCGGGGCUUCCGGUUCCCCAUCACCUCACGGAAACUCAGUCUCCAGGACGGUUCUCGAAGAGCCAGUUUAUUAAUUACAACAAAGGCAUAAACAACUUAGACGCCAAAGUCCGGCUGAGGAGAGAAACGGACGGGUGAGGAUGGUUGUCCGGGACCGGGCUGUGCUCACGGCCGAGACGGCGUGACCUGAGGAGGGGAGAAGGUCCUAGAACAGGACUUGUACUCGACCCGCCCCUUCUUUCCUCUGAGCCGUAGUGCUUCAUCUGCAAAACAGCAACAAGUAAUCGCCACCAUAUUCCCAGUGUGGACUGGGAAUUCAUUCCAGUAAAAACACGUCGAAGAUGUCUUAUACACUGUAAAGUAUUCAAUUCUGGAUAAAGAACUACUUGCAAUUUAAGACUUAAUAAAACAUCACCUUCAGUAAACCUGAUAUAUGAAGAACUGGAUAUAUUUUUAUUUUCUUGGUUGUCUUGGAAAUAUGUCAGCAUUUAUCCAAAGAUGUUUUUAAAGCGGUCAUAAUAAAUAUGGAUAUUGUUAUCCAGGUAAGAGUUGAUAAAAUGUCCUUAUGACUUAUUAGUGAAAUGUAGAAUUUUUCCUUUGACCUGACUUUUCCACAUGAGCUGUCUUUAAUGUCUGCACAGAAUUUAAAUGGCAUUUAAUGUCCUAGGAAUGUAAAAAUGACUCAAAUUUCUCUCCAUAAGAGCUUUCCUUCUCAUUAGGAAGAACACAGUAGAAUCAGUGGUGUUCUUUUUAAAAAUAAGAUGUGGGGCUUCCCUGGUGGCGCAGUGAUUGAGAGUCUGCCUGCCGAUGCAGGGGACACGGGUUCGUGCCCCGGUCCAGGAAGAUCCCACAUGCUUGCGUACCGCAAAAAAAUAAAUAAAUAAAAAUAAAAAAAUUAAAAAAAUAAAAAUAA